UACGGAGGGUGCAAGCGUUAUCCGGAUUCACUGGGUUUAAAGGGUGCGUAGGUGGGUUUGUAAGUCAGUGGUGAAAUCUCCGAGCUUAACUUGGAAACUGCCAUUGAUACUAUAGAUCUUGAAUUUUCUGGAGGUAAGCGGAAUAUGUCAUGUAGCGGUGAAAUGCUUAGAUAUGACAUAGAACACCAAUUGCGAAGGCAGCUUUCUACAGGAAUAUUGACACUGAGGCACGAAAGCGUGGGGAUCAAACAGG
rnacentral:rRNA from 1 species